rnacentral:lncRNA from 1 species
UAAAAAUUAAACAUCAAAGGUCCUAAAACAAUUUAUAUGGAUGCAUUCGUUAUAGUGAAAAACACUUAUCUUUUUCUAAGAGCUCAACUAAAAUCUUCCGAUAAUCUAAUCUAAUCUUAAUAAAUCUGAUUUCUAUUGAUUUAAUGCCUAUCUAUAAUUAAAUAAAAUCUAAUUCCUCACCAUAAUCUAUCAAGAAGAUACUAAAAAAAAGCCCUAAUCUCCCCCCCCCACAAACUAAUGAGAUUGACAUAAAAAAACAAGAAAAAAAAAAAGAAAAAGAGUGAUCGAAAUCUUGAUUAUGAAAAUAACUAACUCCCCUUUAUUUCAAUUAAUGGGCAUUUAGCUUAAAUGCCCUUGGAAAAAAUUACAACAUAAGCCUCUUUCACAAUUCUAAUUCUAAAAUUUACUCUUAAGACAUUAGAUCACCUAAUUUGACCUUUUUCAUAAAAAU